GCCCGGGUGGCGAAAUGGCAGACGCACAGGACUUAAAAUCCUGGGUUCCGAACGGGACGUGUGGGUUCGAGUCCCACCCCGGGCA
rnacentral:tRNA from 1 species